GACCUGGUGGUGUAACUGGUAAUGCGUGCAUUUACUGUGAAAGGUGACAGUGACCCAUAAUCCACAAAUGCGAGACCUUCGUUCGAUUCGAGGUCAGGUCG